rnacentral:lncRNA from 1 species
AGGUGGUGGCUUGUCCUCGACCAACUCGAAAUUCUCCAGAUCCUCACAUUCCCAAAUAAUAAAAUAUCAGUGUUCCAAAUUGCUGAGGAUAAAUAGUAGAAACUCAAGGGGGAAAAAAAAAAAAAAAUCUAAUGGUUCGGAGGAACAGAGAGUUUUAGUAUCAGGGAGAGAAAUCCAGUUUGAGGAGUCCGCCCAUCCAGCAC